rnacentral:rRNA from 1 species
UGGGGAAUUUUGGACAAUGGGCGAAAGCCUGAUCCAGCAAUGCCGCGUGUGUGAAGAAGGCCUUCGGGUUGUAAAGCACUUUUGUCCGGAAAGAAAUCCUUGGCUCUAAUACAGUCGGGGGAUGACGGUACCGGAAGAAUAAGCACCGGCUAACUACGUGCCAGCAGCCGCGGUAAUACGUAGGGUGCAAGCGUUAAUCGGAAUUACUGGGCGUAAAGCGUGCGCAGGCGGUUUGCUAAGACCGAUGUGAAAUCCCCGGGCUCAACCUGGGAACUGCAUUGGUGACUGGCAGGCUAGAGUAUGGCAGAGGGGGGUAGAAUUCCACGUGUAGCAGUGAAAUGCGUAGAGAUGUGGAGGAAUACCGAUGGCGAAGGCAGCCCCCUGGGCCAAUACUGACGCUCAUGCACGAAAGCGUGGGGAGCAAACAGGAUUAGAUACCCUGGUAGUCCACGCCCUAAACGAUGUCAACUAGUUGUUGGGGAUUCAUUUCCUUAGUAACGUGCUAACGCGUGAAGUUGACCGCCUGGGGAGUACGGUCGCAAGAUUAAAACUCAAAUG